rnacentral:tRNA from 1 species
GGGGAUAUAACUCAGUUGGUAGAGUGUGCGCUUUGCAAGCGCGAAGUCAAGAGUUCAAAUCUCUUUAUCUCCA